rnacentral:rRNA from 1 species
CCGGCUCAGUACGAACGCUGGCGGCGCGCCUAACACAUGCAAGUCGAACGAGAGAUGAGGAGCUUGCUCUUCAAAUCGAGUGGCGAACGGGUGAGUAACGCGUGAGGAACCUGCCUCAAAGAGGGGGACAACAGUUGGAAACGACUGCUAAUACCGCAUAAGCCCACGGCUCGGCAUCGAGCAGAGGGAAAAGGAGCAAUCCGCUUUGAGAUGGCCUCGCGUCCGAUUAGCUAGUUGGUGAGGUAAUGGCCCACCAAGGCGACGAUCGGUAGCCGGACUGAGAGGUUGAACGGCCACAUUGGGACUGAGACACGGCCCAGACUCCUACGGGAGGCAGCAGUGGGGAAUAUUGCACAAUGGGGGAAACCCUGAUGCAGCGACGCCGCGUGGAGGAAGAAGGUCUUCGGAUUGUAAACUCCUGUUGUUGAGGAAGAUAAUGACGGUACUCAACAAGGAAGUGACGGCUAACUACGUGCCAGCAGCCGCGGUAAAACGUAGGUCACAAGCGUUGUCCGGAAUUACUGGGUGUAAAGGGAGCGCAGGCGGGAGAACAAGUUGGAAGUGAAAUCCAUGGGCUCAACCCAUGAACUGCUUUCAAAACUGUUUUUCUUGAGUAGUGCAGAGGUAGGCGGAAUUCCCGGUGUAGCGGUGGAAUGCGUAGAUAUCGGGAGGAACACCAGUGGCGAAGGCGGCCUACUGGGCACCAACUGACGCUGAGGCUCGAAAGUGUGGGUAGCAAACAGGAUUAGAUACCCUGGUAGUCCACACCGUAAACGAUGAUUACUAGGUGUUGGGGGAUUGACCCCUUCAGUGCCGCAGUUAACACAAUAAGUAAUCCACCUGGGGAGUACGACCGCAAGGUUGAAACUCAAAGGAAUUGACGGGGGCCCGCACAAGCAGUGGAGUAUGUGGUUUAAUUCGACGCAACGCGAAGAACCUUACCAAGUCUUGACAUCCCUUGACGAACAUAGAAAUAUGUUUUCUCUUCGGAGCAAGGAGACAGGUGGUGCAUGGUUGUCGUCAGCUCGUGUCGUGAGAUGUUGGGUUAAGUCCCGCAACGAGCGCAACCCUUAUGGUCAGUUACUACGCAAGAGGACUCUGGCCAGACUGCCGUUGACAAAACGGAGGAAGGUGGGGAUGACGUCAAAUCAUCAUGCCCUUUAUGACUUGGGCUACACACGUACUACAAUGGCGUUAAACAAAGAGAAGCAAGACCGCGAGGUGGAGCAAAACUCAGAAACAACGUCCCAGUUCGGACUGCAGGCUGCAACUCGCCUGCACGAAGUCGGAAUUGCUAGUAAUCGUGGAUCGGCAUGCCACGGUGAAUACGUUCCCGGGCCUUGUACACACCGCC